UAUAAAUCCCAGCGCAGAGAUCCACCAAGCUCAUUGUGAGAAAGCCCUGUUUCUUGGGAUAGCAUCAUGCAAUGAUACAGGUCCCUAUGAAGUUAUGCACAAUGCAAUUGAAGAGGCAUGUUAUGUCAGGCAAGAAAGAAGCUGAAGAGCUAUACUGCCUUGAGGAAGAAAGUGUAUCUACUGUGAAUUACAGACAGGAAAGAGGAUAUUCUCAGAACCCCUUGGAAUGGCACAGGCACUGUGGAGCAGGAGAAAGUUCUACAAGCAAAAAUCAAAUGGGAAGAAUAAUCAGAGGAGCAUCCGUCAGAUCUUCCUCCCCCUGCCCCUCCACACUGAAAAAAAAAAGGAUGCAAGAAAGCAUAAUUCUGAAGAGCACUGCUGAAUACAAUCCAGAUCUGACUUCAAGCAAAUCUCUUAGCUAUUAGUGGUUCCAUGAAUCUUUUUCUGAAAGAAGAACGCAGCUGAAUUUGAUGCCAGGGCUGCAGACACAGAAACAGAGAGCAAUGCAAAAUCCUGUAAAAACACGGAAAAGAUUUCCCUCCCAUAACAUCCAGAAGGGAGCUCACCAAGAACUUCACUGAUGAGACAAGUAAACAGGUCACUGUCUUAGCUUGCCGAUGCCUCUUUCUGUGCUCAUACUCCAGGUCUUCCAGCCAUAGAAUACUUUCUGGAAUUUGUCAAGAGUGAUGCCCUUGGUAACAAACCCUUCUCAAAGCUGAGACUACAAGCACACAUGGUUCCUUCCAGACACAGGUUUUUCAGAAUGGUUGCCCCUGGAGUCAUUAUCCCCCAGCAAAAUGUCAGGAACCACAUCACAGUUUUACACAAAGGUGAAAGCUGAAGAAUCCAGCAGCCUGCUGGCUUGCAAAGCUGCCUUCUAUCUUGUUGACAAAGGUCUAAUGGAGCCUUGAUACCAAUGCAAGAAAAAAGUAAAGGUUUCUUCACAAGGCAGGUGUGCUUCGAACACCACUCAGUGUCUUUGGAGAGUCCAUCCCUACCCAUUUACCCCUUUAGAUAAAUUUUGUCUUCUUCUUACUAUUAAUUUGUCUUUUACUAUCAAAUUACAGACAUUUCCAAUUUUUUCCACGUUUCUGCUCUUCUCUCUGAGAAAAGCACAAUGCACUGUAUUCACAGAUUUUAUAACGCUGUAAUAAAAGCCCUGUACCAGACUGUAUUUACUGUCUACAUCAAUCAUAUUUGCCUUCAUCAGUAGCACACUUUCAGGUGCAAUGGCAUACAAGCUACAUAAACAGCACUGUCACUUUGACAAUAAUAAAGCAAUAAGGAACACCUCUAAAACAAGAAACCAAAUUCCCAUAAUUCAACUCUGACUCCUCCUCUCCAAAAUCCUUGCAUGAAGCUGACAAGCAGAUGUUUUAUUCUAAUGUCAUGCAUGGUAACAUAGAAUAUAACGUCACAUUAGUAUCAAUGUGGAUACUAUAAAUUGUGCCUUGUAUUCUAUGCAUUCUCACUUGACAUGAAAAACAUACAGAAAACAAAAUAUGUAUCAAUAAAAUAUGUGUAUUGUUAAUAAGCUUUUUGUUUGCAAAAAAUACUUGCAGAAACAAUAGCACUCAUCUUUCUUGUGCUGGACAUCCCACUGAACACAGGGAGAUCACUCUUCUAAGUGCAAUUGCUCUGCUGAGGAUCAUUCUCUCAAAGGACAACUAGAUGACAAGAUUAAGCCAAGCUUCCAGAUCAGACCUGACUCACAGAACACAAAGCAGCCCAGGAACUCAGUUCAGCUGUUACGUAAACUUGGGUUCCGUUUGGCUUCUGCAACCUUAAAUGGAAUCUAUAAACUACCAAAGCUCCUCAAAUCAAAAGGAACUCAAGACUACGUUUCAUAUCUGGAUUUACAAACUGCAUGCUUUCUGCCUGGAUACCUCACCACACCCACAGAUUAUUUUUAAUGCUUUUCUCGUAAAAAGAAGACUUCUGUUAAAAUAUCGAAGGUUGAAUCAUGUUUAAAGACAGAAGGCAAAGGUAUACAGGAAAGCAUUAACCCUACUAAGCCAAGGGUCAUUCUCAGAUUUUUACUGACGUGACAUUGGAGAGUUCCUAGCAGAACUCAGUAAUGAAACAAUUCCUCAGAGUGACACAAGCAUGCUCCAUUUACAGGAGGAAAAACUGUAUCCUUGGAUCAAAUCUAGGGAACCAAAUGUCACAGUGGUUCCUAUCCACUGUUCAUACUUCAUCUACACAUAUAUACCUGUUCUGGACUUUCCCCUCGUAGCAUUCUAUGCUUGAGCUGGAGAAUUUAGCAGCUUGGUCAACAUUCCCUGGAUAUUAUCUCAAGUUACAUUAAAAAUAACUCUUAAAAAUUAAUGCUUUUGCAGAAGUUUUCUGGUGAGAGCACAGCAUUGCCAGAGCACAGGCUCCUGAAAAGAGGCUGAAGAACCAUUGGAUACGAAGCCAGAGCCCGUGCACAACGCCCUGCAAAUAGAGGUUUACAGCUUCUGCACUCAUUCCCUGAGAGAUGGACAGCUCAAGGAAGUAGAAGUACUGUGUUGGAGUCUUUCAGGAAGCAGAUCUGCUAAACCAGGGGCUUUGUCCAACACACACAAAAAAAAAAAAAAAAAAAAAAAAAAAAUCCCCCUGAGAAACAAAGGAAGAUGUGAAGAGAUGAGUGAAAAGGCAGUGUGUCAGCAAAGGAAAGCUCUCCUAGCAGGACUGAGGGAAUGCUGUCCUCGAAGCUCUCCAUGAACUGUCUGAAAAGGCUUUCUGAUGGGAUCACAAAAAGCUCAAGGGGAAAAAAGGUCAACAGAAACAAGCAUAAAUUUCAGCAAAGACAAAGUCUGCAUCAUCUUUUACAUUUCAAGAUCCCUAUCUGCUUAGAAACUCGAUUGCUCAACUUCUAGUUUGCAUGUCUUUGACAACCUUCGUUGAAAUCAUAUGCAAAUACUAAAUUUAUUACAGUUAGGGGUAACGUGAGAUGCUUUCUUAUUCAUUUAAUCAUAUCCAUCUGUUAAUUCCAGAAGAUGGUAGCUUUGAAUUGUAUUGUUAUUUGCAUUACCAGGAAUUGGGAGUAACCUAAGUAUGUGGUUACUUCAGUUUUAUUGAAGGCUGGGUUUUUGUUUUGUUUUUUUUUUUACUAUUUUGCAUAUUAAAUGUAGACAACCUGAGAAUCUUGAAGGAGACUGAUGGCUUUCUGUUAUUCUCUUAUCACUUGUCACAUCAGAAUACUGAGACAGCUGGACCACCACUCUGAGUCAGUGUAGCUGACUGUACAUUAGACAUGUAUGUCAUGCAUAAAACCCAUGGAAGAUAUUCACACAAUACAGUAGCAGAUCUGCUUCCCACCAAAUAUUAUUCCUUUUCUCUAAAAGAAGACUGGACUCAUACAAGUAUUGUUAGUUAGCCAAGUUAGUUGAAAACUGGAGGUGAAGCAGCGUUGCCCCUCUUUGUACAGCAUUAUUAUGUUGGUUCAGAAGUAUCUUCUAGUUAUUUAUUUGAUAAACUCAAAAUACUGUGAAGCAGUUCUAGCUAAGGUAAUACAGUAAAAAACACUCUCAGGUCAGCUAGAGAGUGCCUGCAUGGAGCUGCGCAGCUGUCCCAUUGCCCAGAGCAGUGCUGGUUACAGCAUACGGGCAGCCUGAGGAGAUGGGCUACACCCCUGAAUGCGCCACUGCAUUUCCAUAAGCAUUCAUUGUG
ensembl:lncRNA